UACGAAGGGGGCUAGCGUUGCUCGGAAUUACUGGGCGUAAAGCGCACGUAGGCGGCUUCUUAAGUCGGUGGUGAAAUCCUGGAGCUCAACUCCAGAACUGCCUUCGAUACUGGGAAGCUCGAGUCCGGGAGAGGUGAGUGGAACUGCGAGUGUAGAGGUGAAAUUCGUAGAUAUUCGCAAGAACACCAGUGGCGAAGGCGGCGAUCUGGGUCGAUACUGACGCUGAGGUGCGAAAGCGUGGGGAGCAAACAGG
rnacentral:rRNA from 1 species